UACAGAGGUCUCAAGCGUUGUUCGGAUUCAUUGGGCGUAAAGGGUGCGUAGGUGGCGCUGUAAGUCGGGUGUGAAAUUUCGGAGCUUAACUCCGAAACUGCAUUCGAUACUGCGGUGCUUGAGGACUGGAGAGGAGACUGGAAUUCAUGGUGUAGCAGUGAAAUGCGUAGAGAUCAUGAGGAAGACCAGUGGCGAAGGCGGGUCUCUGGACAGUACCUGACACUGAGGCACGAAGGCCAGGGGAGCAAACGGG
rnacentral:rRNA from 1 species